rnacentral:rRNA from 2 species
UGGGGAACUUUGGACAAUGGGCGAAAGCCUGAUCCAGCCAUGCCGCGUGAGUGAAGAAGGCCUUCGGGUUGUAAAGCUCUUUUAGUCGGAAAGAAAGAGUUGCAAUGAAUAAUUGUGAUUUAUGACGGUACCGACAGAAAAAGCACCGGCUAACUACGUGCCAGCAGCCGCGGUAAUACGUAGGGUGCGAGCGUUAAUCGGAAUUACUGGGCGUAAAGGGUGCGCAGGCGGUCUUGCAAGUCAGAUGUGAAAGCCCCGGGCUUAACCUGGGAAUUGCGUUUGAAACUACAAGGCUAGAGUGCAGCAGAGGGGAGUGGAAUUCCAUGUGUAGCAGUGAAAUGCGUAGAGAUGUGGAAGAACACCGAUGGCGAAGGCAGCUCCCUGGGUUGACACUGACGCUCAUGCACGAAAGCGUGGGGAGCAAACA